CAGUCGCCACGGUAAUACGAAGGGUGCAAGCGUUAAUCGGAAUUACUGGGCGUAAAGCGUGCGUAGGUGGUGGUUUAAGUCCGUUGUGAAAGCCCUGGGCUCAACCUGGGAAUUGCAGUGGAUACUGGGUCACUAGAGUGUGGUAGAGGAUAGUGGAAUUUCCGGUGUAGCAGUGAAAUGCGUAGAGAUCGGAAGGAACAUCUGUGGCGAAGGCGACUAUCUGGGCCAACACUGACACUGAGGCACGAAAGCGUGGGGAGCAAACAGGAUUAGAUACCCCGGUAGUCCCUGUCUCUUAUAC
rnacentral:rRNA from 1 species